rnacentral:rRNA from 1 species
UGGGGGAUAUUGCACAAUGGGCGAAAGCCUGAUGCAGCGACGCCGCGUGGGGGAUGAAGGCUUUCGGGUUGUAAACCUCUUUCGCUAUCGAACAAGGCCCGCUUAGGGUGGGUUGAGGGUAGGUGGAGAAGAAGCGCCGGCUAACUACGUGCCAGCAGCCGCGGUAAUACGUAGGGCGCGAGCGUUGUCCGGAAUUAUUGGGCGUAAAGGGCUUGUAGGCGGCUUGUUGCGCCUGCUGUGAAAACGCGGGGCUUAACUUCGCGCGUGAAGUGGGUACGGGCAGGCUUGAGUGUGGUAGGGGUGACUGGAAUUCCAGGUGUAGCGGUGGAAUGCGCAGAUAUCUGGAGGAACACCGAUGGAGAAGGCAGGUCACUGGGCCAUUACUGACGCUGAGGAGCGAAAGCAUGGGUAGCGAACAGG